AACGAACGCUGGCGGCAUGCUUAACACAUGCAAGUCGAACGAGACCUUCGGGUUUAGUGGCGCACGGGUGCGUAACGCGUGGUAACCUGCCCUUAGGUUCCGAAUAACUCCCCGAAAGGGGUGGUAAUACCGGAUAAUGUCCUCGGACCAAAGAUUUAUCGCUUGUGGAUGGGGCCGCGUUGGAUUAGCUAGUUGGUAGGGUAAAAGCAUACCAAGGCGACGAUCCGUAGCUGGUCUGAGAGGAUGAUCAGCCGCACUGGGACUGGGACACGGCCCAGACUCGUACGAGAGGCAGCGGUGGGGAAUAUUGGGGAAGGAGCGAGAGCCUGAUCCAGCGAGGCCGCGUGGGUGGUGAAGGGGUUAGGAUUGUAAAGCAGUUUGGCCCGAGAUGAUAGUGACGGUACCGGGAGAAUAAGCACCGGCUAACUACGUG
rnacentral:rRNA from 1 species